AUUGAACGCUGGCGGCAGGCCUAACACAUGCAAGUCGAGCGAGCGGCGGACGGGUGAGUAAUGUCUGUGAAACUGCCUGAUGGAGGGGGAUAACUACUGGAAACGGUCGCUAAUAACUCAUACCCUCAGAUGUGCCCAGACUGGAUUAGCUAGUAGGUGGGGUAACGGCUCACUGAGGCGACGAUCCCUAGCUGGUCUGAGAGGAUGACCAGCCACACUGGAACUGAGACACGGUCCAGAUGCCUACGGGAGGCAGCAGUGGGGAAUAUUGCACAAUGGGCGCAAGCCUGAUGCAGCCAUGCCGCGUGUGUGAAGAAGGCCUUAGGGUUGUAAAGCACUUUCAGCGGGGAGGCGUUACCCGCAGAAGAAGCACCGGCUAACUCCGUGCCAGCAGCCGCGGUAAUAC
rnacentral:rRNA from 1 species